GGCCUCUAAACGUGGGUGCCGGGUCACAAUGCUCCUCUGUGCCCCCUGACGUAUGGCAUCCUGGCUCUGAUGUGGCCCUGGAAAAUUCUUCGUGCCAAAAGGCUUCCAACCUCUUGAAUCCCACGCUGGCAUCCUCCGGAGCUCACGCAACGACUGUCUAGGGACUCGGCUUACAAAGCGCUAAAUAUGAGAGACAGCUCCAAGCGCUGCCCGUCCCACUCAAGAUUGCCUCUAGAGUACGGGAUUUAAUCCCACAGGAUUAAAUUGUUUUUACAUGGAACGUGCAGCAUCACAGCAAUGGAAUUUGUAAACCGGGGUUCCUGCUGUGUGUUUAGAAACAGGAUCUUAUAGCCUAAAUUGAAAAUGGGACUGCUCCACAACACUCAACACAUGGCAACAGAUGUGUGGCAGUGUGUGUAAGAGAGGGGGGGA